UCCCAGUCUCGACUGCAUUCAAAGCGGAAGGAGGGGGGAAUCUGUCCCUCAAACAGCUCCCGUGGGUGUUUCCCGCUGGCAAUUUUGGAAUGAGAAAUGUUGCACCCAGGUUGGAUCAGUCCUAAUUAAUCUGCUAACUUCUUUCCCGAGACUCAGCCGUCUGCAUUUAAUUUUCUUGUUCAGUUCUAAUAGUGCAAGGGAUUAAAGGGGGAACCUUAGUCACUCACAGAAAGGCACACACCUGAAUGCGGAGCAUGGGUCCUCCCCACCUUUUUUCCUCGCUAGAAAUGCAUAUCUUUCAAACCUUCCUUCCGUUGACUGGGGACGCGUCUUAAAUUCUAGCCUAGCCCACAAAUUACCGGAUAGCGCCAGAAAAAUAAAUGUUUUGACAAAGCGGUGGAUUGCUCGACUCUACAAGGAGGUGGGGGGGGGGCUCAUAUAGACUUAGAAAAGAGCCUUUGACUGGACAAGACCAGGUGAGCUGGCUCGCAGUUAGUGACGACCUCCCCAACACCGUGGGUGGAGCACGUGCACCUAAGCCGCCUUCCCAUCCCACGAAACCAGCCCUGGCCCGAGUGGGUUCCCUCUCUCUUGCAAGCCCAACGCCGCCACUCGAAAGCAGGAGCGAGGCGUUCGAGGCACGCGUGUUUCGGUGGCGACGCAACUUCUUUCAAUCUUGGCCAAGCUGGACAUCGCUCUCGGUAAGGAGAUGGGCAGAUCUAGUUGGUAGGUAGCGGAUCGGGCCCAGAGACAGCCCGAUCAAAGUUUCACUUUUUAUGGAGAGGGAAACGAUCCAGGGCAGCUUGUCCAUCAAGUUGUCUUGAGCGAUCGCUCCUUCACAUGCUCAUCAAGCCGGGAUUCUCUCUAGCGAAAAAACAGACGUGGUUGACCAAGGCAUCUACCGUUCAGAGACGCCAGUUCGGGGAAUUGUCUCCCAAGGAAAAACAGCGCGGGAGAAGGGGGAAGAGAGAAUGGGGAUACACAAGAUACUUUUGGGACGUAUCUCAUAUCUCCUUCGUAGAAGCCUUCUAAACUUUCACCCCAUGAACAAGAUGAACAAUUCUGAAGAAGUGAAGUGUUGGUAAGGAGCUCACACCUGGAGCUGAGGCGCGAGAAUACAGAUGGUACUCUAGCUCCCGCCUCCCCAUUACAGGCGGGGCUGUUUCUUCCAGCUGCUGAAACGACCCCAGCUGGUCCCGGACUAGCAGCUCCACGCAGGCCGAAACAAGCGACGGGAGGAACAGAGCCCUGAUUGGUGGAUGCGGCUUCGUUUCGCGCCUCCCGUUUUAAGUUGAUGGACAGCCGGGUUGGGGGGGGGUGCUGUUUGCGAGCGGCCCCCGCUCUUUUCCUUUCUGUUUCGAAAAACCCUCCCCGGCCUUUCGCUUUUUCCGCCCCCCGAUUCCCUCCGGUAGUUGUCAUUUGCUUGCUUGCUUGCUUUCAAAAAAUAUACAGAUACACAAGCCUGUGCGUUGAUUAAAUCUAAUUGCAAAGAAUUGUGUGUGUGUGUGUGAGACUAGAGGGAUCUUGCACACCGCUCUCUAUCUCCGCAGUAAUAACGGAUCUCUCUCUGCCCACCUCCUCGCCCCGUGCUGGGUCCGCUUGGUGUGUUCAUUCCCCCACCUCAACCCGGGCUUCUAUUCAUUCCCUAGAUAGCUUAGGCGGUUCAGAUGGGACGUGAAUACUGGCAGCUCACUUCAAAUUAAAAUCAUUUCUGGGUCAUGUAACGGGGCCACUCUACACCUGAAGAACGGCCGGCUGCAAAGACAGCAUUCGGUUGUACGUUCGGCUAAGAUUCCCUCGGUUACAAAGUGAGCUGAUUGAGCACCUGAUUUUGCAGGAUCCGGCCGGAGAUUGAAGAUUGAACAGAACCUGUGUGUCUCUCCCGACCCACUCCCCACAUUCAGGAUGUUGGCAGGUUGAGUGUCAAAAAAGUCAAGAUGGCGGUUGCGGCCACGCGAUUGAAGUUCCUUCGGCUUCUUGAGGGAGCUGGCCGCCAUUUUAACUGUUUUGACGACACGCUGCUUCCUUUCCCCGGUUUGCCAUUGGCUCUCUUAGAAAUCUACCAGCGGGGCAGGAGAGAAAGUACACGCGUAUAUCUGUGUAUUCUCCUGUGGAUAAAAAAAUAAUGAUAAGAAGUCACCAUGUGCAGAGAAGCAUCCAGGGAGAACAGACAGGAAAGAUAGAAGGCAGCGGAGCCUUUCCUGUGAGAGAAGCAGCAAGAGCUUGGGGAAGGGAGUGAAAUGUGAGUGAAUAAACUCAGCAUUCAUAGGAAUAUA